UCUUCCGCAAUGGACGAAAGUCUGACGGAGCAACGCCGCGUGAGUGAUGAAGGUUUUCGGAUCGUAAAACUCUGUUGUUAGGGAAGAACAAGUACCGUUCGAAUAGGGCGUUACCUUGACGGUACCUAAUCAGAAAGCAACGGCUAACGACGUGCCAGCAGCCCCGGUAAUACGUAGGUGGCAAGCGUUGCCCGGAAUUAUUGGCCGUAAAGCGCGCGCAGGCGGUUUCUUAAGUCGGAUGUGAAAGCCCCCGGCUCAACCGGGGAGGGUCAUUGGAAACUGGGGAACUUGAGUGCAGAAGAGGAGAGUGGAAUUCCACGUGUAGCGGUGAAAUGCGUAGAGAUGUGGAGGAACACCAGUGGCGAAGGCGACUCUCUGGUCUGUAACUGACGCUGAGGCGCGAAAGCGUGGGGAGCGAACAGG
rnacentral:rRNA from 1 species